rnacentral:rRNA from 1 species
GACGAACGCUGGCGGCGUGCUUAACACAUGCAAGUCGAACGGAGCGAAUGAAAGCUUGCUUUUAUAAGCUUAGUGGCAAACGGGUGAGUAACACGUAGGCAACCUGCCGACAGGAUGGGGACAACAUUCCGAAAGGAAUGCUAAUACCGAAUGAAGUCGAGGGAGGGCAUCCUCCUCCGAUGAAAGAUGGCCUCUAUAUAUAAGCUAUCACCUGUCGAUGGGCCUGCGUCUGAUUAGCUGGUAGGUGAGGUAACGGCUCACCUAGGCGACGAUCAGUAGCCGGUCUGAGAGGAUGAACGGCCACAUUGGGACUGAGACACGGCCCAGACUCCUACGGGAGGCAGCAGUGGGGAAUCUUCCGCAAUGGGCGCAAGCCUGACGGAGCAACGCCGCGUGAGUGAAGAAGGUCUUCGGAUCGUAAAGCUCUGUUGAUGGGGACGAACGUGCCUAAUGCGAAUAGUAUUAGGUAAUGACGGACCCAUCGAGAAGCCACG